rnacentral:rRNA from 1 species
UGGGGAGGGAAACGCAUGCAGACGAACGGGCCCGCGUCGAGUUCAGGGGGCCGCGUGGAGUCGGGCGUGCGGUCGGCACCUUCGUGGGCCGUCCGCGCGUCGCGACUGCUCGCGCCCCUGCACUCUCGGCGUCCGGGGCCGGCCAGGUGCGGUGGGCGGCGGGCGAGGAGCACGCGUCGGGAAGGUAGCGCAGCCGUCUUCCUCGGGAGACGGAGGCGAACUUACAGCCGAUCGUGCGGAGCGUCCGACGCCCACCGAGGAGAGCGGUGGCACUUCCACCCCAGCAGCGCAGGUCCGCUUCGGCGGCCGGGGCGCUCUCGCCCGUUCGACGUCCGCGUCGCGGUCACUGCUCGCAGUGCCCGGCGCCGGGCGGCGUCCGGGAGGGAGGUCGUCCCACGCCUUGCGCUUCGGCCGCCUGGCCAGCCGUCGGCUGUAUUCGACCCGUC